rnacentral:rRNA from 1 species
AGAGUUUGAUCCUGGCUCAGAUUGAACGCUGGCGGCAGGCUUAACACAUGCAAGUCGAGCGGGAAUAGGUAGCUUGCUACUGAAUUCUAGCGGCGGACGGGUGAGUAAAGCUUAGGAAUCUGCCAUUUAGUGGGGGACAACAUUUCGAAAGGGAUGCUAAUACCGCAUACGUCCUACGGGAGAAAGCAGGGGAUCUUCGGACCUUGCGCUAAAUGAUGAGCCUAAGUCGGAUUAGCUAGUUGGUGGGGUAAAGGCCUACCAAGGCGACGAUCUGUAGCGGGUCUGAGAGGAUGAUCCGCCACACUGGGACUGAGACACGGCCCAGACUCCUACGGGAGGCAGCAGUGGGGAAUAUUGGACAAUGGGCGGAAGCCUGAUCCAGCCAUGCCGCGUGUGUGAAGAAGGCCUUUUGGUUGUAAAGCACUUUAAGCGAGGAGGAGGCUACUUAGAUUAAUACUCUAGGAUAGUGGACGUUACUCGCAGAAUAAGCACCGGCUAACUCUGUGCCAGCAGCCGCGGUAAUACAGAGGGUGCGAGCGUUAAUCGGAUUUACUGGGCGCAAAGCGUGCGUAGGCGGCUGAUUAAGUCGGAUGUGAAAUCCCUGAGCUUAACUUAGGAAUUGCAUUCGAUACUGGUCAGCUAGAGUAUGGGAGAGGAUGGUAGAAUUCCAGGUGUAGCGGUGAAAUGCGUAGAGAUCUGGAGGAAUACCGAUGGCGAAGGCAGCCAUCUGGCCUAAUACUGACGCUGAGGUACGAAAGCAUGGGGAGCAAACAGGAUUAGAUACCCUGGUAGUCCAUGCCGUAAACGAUGUCUACUAGCCGUUGGGGCCUUUGAGGCUUUAGUGGCGCAGCUAAC